rnacentral:rRNA from 1 species
GAUGAACGCUGGCGGCGUGCCUAAUACAUGCAAGUCGAGCGGACGGACGAGAAGCUUGCUUCUCUGAUGUUAGCGGCGGACGGGUGAGUAACACGUGGAUAACCUACCUAUCAGACUGGGAUAACUUCGGGAAACCGUAGCUAAUACCGUAUAAUAUUUUGAACCGCAUGGUUCAAAAGUGAAAGACGGUCUUGCGGUCACUUAUAGCUGGAUCCGCGCUGUAUUAGCGAGUUGGUAAGGUAACGGCCUACCAAGGCAACGAUGCGUAGCCGACCUGAGAGGGUGGUCGGCCACCCUGGAACUGAGCCAGCGUCCAGACUCCUACGGGACGCAGCAGUAGGGAAUCUUCCGCAAUGGGCGAAAGCCUUACGGAGCAACGCCGCGUGAGUGGUGAAGGUCUUCGGAUCGUAAAGCUCUGUUAUUAGUGAAGAACAGAUGUGUAAGUAGCUGUGCACAUCUUGACGGUACCUAGUCAGAAAGCCACGGCUAACUACGUG